GAGCGAGGAGGCAGCCCCCGUGGCUCCCGGAUCGCUUAGUGAGAAGGAAAGGGCGGAGCCUCAGCAGGCAGUCCCGCCCUUUUCUCCCCGCCCUUUCUCAGCUGAAGCCGAAGCUGAAGUCCUGCGCUGUCUGAUUUUUGCCACGUGGGAGCUAGCGGUGACACAAGAGAUACAGACAGAGGCUCCCAGACAGAAUUCAGCCAAAUUACAUGAAGAGAAGAACGUCAAGUCAGAAGAAGCCACGAGUCAGAGCUGAGCUGAAGAUUGAGAAGGGUCUCUCAGAGGCACAACCAGAUUCAUCUUCAUCUCACACCACUGUGGUGGCUGGGCUCCUGCACUUCCCCCACUGAGACCAAGCUGGUCUGAAAGACUCACCAGAAAGCUAGCCGAGCCCCAAGUGAAGGAGACAAGAGAUUCAUUCUAUCUUUGUGCUGGUUGGAGGUUGAAGGAAGCAGAGGUAAAGGACAAAACGGCAGGAGCUCUUGGAACCAAGCAGAGAGAUAGGCCUCUAAGCUAACCAGGCUAUAUUGGAGACAAUAAAAGAUCUGAAUUUUUAUCA